GAUGAACGCUAGCGGCAGGCUUAACACAUGCAAGUCGAGGGGUAUUGGUUUUCGGACCAAGAGACCGGCGCACGGGUGCGUAACGCGUAUGCAAUCUACCUUUUGCAGAGGGAUAGCCCAGAGAAAUUUGGAUUAAUACCUCAUAGUAUAGUACUUUGGCAUCAAGGAACUAUUAAAGUCACAACGGCAAAGAUGAGCAUGCGUCCCAUUAGCUAGUUGGUAAGGUAACGGCUUACCAAGGCUACGAUGGGUAGGGGUCCUGAGAGGGAGAUCCCCCACACUGGUACUGAGACACGGACCAGACUCCUACGGGAGGCAGCAGUGAGGAAUAUUGGACAAUGGGCGCAAGCCUGAUCCAGCCAUGCCGCGUGCAGGAUGACGGUCCUAUGGAUUGUAAACUGCUUUUUANACAGGAAGAAACACUCCGACGUGUCGGAGCUUGACGGUACUGUAAGAAUAAGGAUCGGCUAACUACGUGCCAGCAGCCG
rnacentral:rRNA from 1 species